ACUCAAAUGAAUAGACGGGGGCCCGCACAAGCGGUGGAGCAUGUGGUUCAAUUCGACGCAACGCGAAGAACCUUACCUGGACUCGAAAUGCAGUUGAUACUUUCAGAGAUGAAGGUUUCCCGCAAGGGACGGCUGUAUAGGUGCUGCAUGGCUGUCGUCAGCUCGUGUCGUGAGAUGUUGGGUUAAGUCCCGCAACGAGCGCAACCCUUACUCUUAGUUGCUCGGUCCGAUUUAUCGGACAAGCACCCUAAGAGAACUGCCUCGGAUAACGAGGAGGAAGGUGGGGAUGACGUCAAGUCCUCAUGGCCUUUAUGCCCAGGGCUACACACGUGCUACAAUGGCCGGUACAAAGCGUCGCCAACCCGCAAGGGGGAGCCAAUCGCAAAAAACCGGUCUCAGUUCGGAUUGCAGGCUGCAACUCGCCUGCAUGAAGCUGGAAUCGCUAGUAAUCGCGUAUCAGAACGAUGCGGUGAAUACGUUCCCGGGCCUUGCACACACCGCCCGU
rnacentral:rRNA from 1 species